ACUCUUUUUCAAAACAGCGCGGUAAACAAGAUGAUGUCGCAGCUCAUCUCUUCUCCUGCUUUUCCUCCGUUGUUACAAAGGACACGAUUCAAUGAAUCAUUCAAUCGAUGUACUUGUAUUUCUGAGACAGUAAACAACGCUAUAUUAGGGAGGUCAGAGAUGAUUAUCCUUGAGGGUCGUGUGAUUUGUGAGGCCGUAUACCCCAGAUUUCGGACUGCAAGAUUUCUACUGUUCGCAAUGUACUACGUCUUAAAUCUUCAGUAUCCAGAGGCAUGUGGCACAUUGGAUUUUAUUUAGAGACAAUUUGUCGGAUAAACCCUGAAAAAGGCUCGAAGACCAGCAAAGUCAAGGUCGUUAAGAAGACUGGAAAGAAUGUGAAUAAGAAGACUGCUACUGUCAACGCAGAAGUUGCAUCCCUCCUAAAGAACCUCAUCCGUUUCGAAUGGGAUUUUGUCUAGACCUGGAUUUCCUCUCAGGCCAGAGUGAUCAGAAGCUGGAGUAAGACACUUAAAUUUUUUUCCAACAAUUAGUUUGAUUAAUGUGUUCUUCAUUUCAUGCCAGGUUUUUAAAAUAUGUUGUGCCGUGCUGGCAGUUUUUUCUUCUUGUUGUAAGUUUGUUUUUAGCUCCUUGAGUUGCACUUUUUUUCUGUGAUUUCUGUUUUUAACUCUUUCCCGCCAUUGACGAGUUUUUAUAGCAAUCCGUAUUUCCGUUAUUAUGUUGCUCUUACCCAACUUAUACAACCUGGAAACAACCCCUCAGGUCAAACAAUUCAAACUCUGUGUAUGUUUUGAUUAUUGCUCUGGAUUUCUAUUAGAAGUCUUUCACAAAAUCGCCGUUAUCUCAGCUUUUUGCUCAAAAUAUGGUCUUUUUUAAGAAACCUACUCAUAUUUGAGAGGUGGUAAAAAAGAACUAAUUUUAAGGUAGGAUGAAUUUUUUUUAUUGUUGUUUGAAAGCAGAGGGGUUUGUUAUUUUAUUUGAUUCGAUUUGAUAUAUUGAAGGUUUAUAUAGUUAAAGAAGAAUGUUUUCUUGAAGGCAUUAAACUUUUGUAAAAAUCAUUAAAAACGCUGGCAUGGGCUGUCAACUUUUUUUAAAACACUGGCGGGGAAAGAGUUAACAUAAUGUUAAAUUUACUGUAACUGUUACUCCGUAGCUCCUUCAAUUGCACUUUAUUUUUGUGAUGUGGUCUUACUUUACUCUGUGGUUGCUUUUUAAUGGCACCUUUUCUCUGUGAUAGUGCAUUUAUUGUUAAACAUACUUGUAGAUGUUUACAGUGCUAAAAGAUUGUUUAAAGAUUGUAAUAACAGUUGUAUUAAUAAAUGGAAAAUGGAGCACUA